AGAUCAGCUUCCAUGAUGUAGCGGGAGAAGAAAUGGACAUAAGAGGAACAAGGUCCAGUGUGUCAUCCCUCUUCUUACUCUGAUCAUUCUCACAUUCGUCUCUAAGUUUCUUGAGAUACCAUGCCAGUAUCUAUCAUCUAUUAUCUAUCAAUCUAUCAUCUACCUCUGAUUAAGAGCAUAGUUCUGGAAGUGUAAUGCCUGGGUUUGUGUUCUAAUUCUGACACUUUACUGGAUAUGUGACCUACAGCAAGCAAGGUAACCUCACUGUGCCUCCAUCUUCAUGAAAAGGUGGGGGCAGAAAGUUUACAUUUUAAAAACCUCCAAAUGU
rnacentral:lncRNA from 1 species